AUUGAACGCUGGCGGCAGGCCUAACACAUGCAAGUCGAACGGUAACAGGAAACAGCUUGCUGUUUCGCUGACGAGUGGCGGACGGGUGAGUAAUGUCUGGGAAACUGCCUGAUGGAGGGGAUAACUACUGGAAACGGUAGCUAAUACCGCAUAACGUCGCAAGACCAAAGAGGGGGACCUUCGGGCCUCUUGCCAUCGGAUGUGCCCAGAUGGGAUUAGCUAGUAGGUGGGGUAACGGCUCACCUAGGCGACGAUCCCUAGCUGGUCUGAGAGGUUGAACGGCCACAUUGGGACUGAGAUACGGCCCAGACCUCCGUACGGGAGGCAGCAGUGGGGAAUAGUUGGG
rnacentral:rRNA from 1 species